GGCGCACUUCCGGGAUAGGGCUCCGCCUUGUCGCGCACAGAUUGAACCCUGUGGUGGCGCCAGCGAGCACCACAUUCAUCCCUCCCUCCUCCUCCUCGCCGCUCGUCUUCAUCAUCACACAUAAAGUCUCGACGACGCGUGAUUCACCGAUUAAAGUCGUGUCGAUGAUUCAAAUGGAGGAAUUAGUGAAGCUUCUAUGUUUAAUACAGAGACAAAACACAACAAACUGCAUCACAUUAAAAAACUGAAACAUCCACGUUUUUUGGUGGUUGAUAAGAAUAAAAUUGUUAAAAAAGCUCGUAAUUUAAAAAACUGUUA